AUCCUUUGUAGUUCAUUAGGGUGAUGAUUGGGUGUUCCAGCUGCUGUGUGACAUGUGCCUCCCUCAAAUCCUGUUAUGAAGAAUGCACUUUACCUGUCUGAUG
ensembl:snoRNA